rnacentral:lncRNA from 1 species
UUUUAUUUAUUUUCUAUUAUUAAUUAGGGUUUAUGAUGGACCUUGGGCCUUCUAUGCAUCCCUUAGCCCAUUUCGUUUUAACCCCCCCUUUUUUUUUCUUUUAGUUAUUUAGUUUUGAUUUUAAAGUAAAAAUAAAUAAUUUCAUAUUUAGUAAAUAUUAAAUAUGCUGAAUUUCAAUAUUAAAAACAUAUCAGGUUUUAUUAAAUAAAU